rnacentral:ncRNA from 1 species
CAAAUAGAGGCGCGAGCAAGAUCAGUAGAGCAACAGUGGCUGACUGCCGAUACUGUUUUUUGAAAGGGUUGUUCGCCGAAGUGUAUGACUUCUCGUCAAAGCAUAUGCUGGGCUGCAGCUGAAUAAGCUGCAGACUCUCACAGAAACUGUGAUGGUGC